rnacentral:rRNA from 1 species
CAUCUACGGAGAGUUUGAUCCUGGCUCAGGACGAACGCUGGCGGCGUGCUUAACACAUGCAAGUCGAACGCUGAACCCUGCUUGCGGGGGGAUGAGUGGCGAACGGGUGAGUAACACGUGGGCAACCUGCCCCCGGCUCUGGGAUAACUCCAAGAAAUUGGGGCUAAUACCGGAUGUUCACCGGCUGCCGCAUGGUGGUGGGUGGAAAGGGUUUCCGGCUGGGGAUGGGCCCGCGGCCUAUCAGCUUGUUGGUGGGGUAGUGGCCUACCAAGGCGACGACGGGUAGCCGGCCUGAGAGGGUG